UUGCAAAGCCUUUAAUUAGAAUGUUUGUAUUUUUUACAUCAUGCAUAACUUCACAUUUGUGAUUAAUUAGUAAUUAUUUCAAUACUUGUAAGCUCAUCUGCCUCAGAUUUAAUCAUAAUACAUGAAUUAAAUUAAUCAAAUUAAGGAACAGCAAUUUAGAAAGAAACACACUUUAAGAAAUCAAAAUUCUCAAUUCAGGCAGUCUGUUUCUAUCAUUUGGUAUUCUACUCCUUUAAAAAUUUCAUAUUGCCCAACAAAAAGUGGUUAUUUUUACUGUUUUUGGAGAUGACUGAACAGAUGAAGGCAUCAGAUGCCUUCAUCAGCUGGUAUUUUGCCUAAGAUCUAUUUAAGAUAACCUUUUCUUAUAUUUUUUACUUAAUAUUGGGCAUAAUCGUAUCAUUCAAGAUUAAGUCUGGGUUAUUUCUUUGAUAAGAACUGAAUGUGGCCGAGGUGGGUGGAUCACAAGGUCAGGAGAUCGAGACCAUCCUGGCUAACACGGUGAAACCCUGUCUCUACUAAAAAUACAAAAAAUUAGCCGGGCGUGGUGGCGGGCGCCCGUAAUCCCAGCUACUCGGGAGGCUGAGGCAGGAGAAUGGCGUGAACCCGGGAGGUGGAGGUUGCAGUGAGCUGAGAUCAUGCCACUGCACUCCAGCCUGGGCCACACAGUGAGACUGUCUUUAAAAAUAAAAUAAAAUAAAAUAAAAAUAAAAAUAAAA
rnacentral:lncRNA from 1 species